UGUAAGGAAGCCCUAAGUAGAGCAGUGAUGAUGUGGUUGCUGAGCACUUUCUUCCUGACAACUGUUUUUUCUUGUGGCUCUGCACAAGACUUGCAGCAAACACCUAUAUCUAUCACCAAGCCAAAAGGCAAAACAGUGCUAAUCAACUGCCAUGUCUCCAGUCCUGAUUUUAGCAACGUUUUUAUUCACUGGUACCAAAAGAAGGUCAAUGAAGCUCCCAAGCGUGUUGCCUACAUGUCCUCCAGGUUUUUCCUUGAAAACCAGUCUGAUGAGGGGAAGUUCACUGUUGAGAAGGAUCCCAGCAAAUCUGUCUGCACCCUGACAUUGAGCAAAGUAACUCUGCAAGACUCUGCCACCUACUACUGCGCUAAGUGGGAUGCACAGUAG